rnacentral:SRP_RNA from 2 species
GCCAGGCGUGGUUGUGCACGCCUGUUAUCCCAGCUACUCGGGAGGCUGAGGCAGGAGAAUCGCUUGAGCCUGGGAGGUGGAGGUUGCAGUGAGCCGAGAUCAUGCCACUGCACUCCAGCCUGGGCGACAGAGCGAGACUCUGCCUCAG